AGAGUUUGAUCCUGGCUCAGAUUGAACGCUGGUGGCAUGCUUUACACAUGCAAGUCGAACGGCAGCACAGGGAGCUUGCUCCUGGGUGGCGAGUGGCGCACGGGUGAGUAAUACAUCGGAACGUGUCCUAUCGUGGGGGAUAACUGAUCGAAAGAUCAGCUAAUACCGCAUAAGACCUGAGGGUGAAAGUGGGGGAUCGCAAGACCUCACGCGAUUGGAGCGGCCGAUGCCCGAUUAGCUAGUUGGUGAGGUAAAGGCUCACCAAGGCGACGAUCGGUAGCUGGUCUGAGAGGACGACCAGCCACACUGGGACUGAGACACGGCCCAGACUCCUACGGGAGGCAGCA
rnacentral:rRNA from 1 species